GGAUAACGAUCCUGUGAUGGUUCCUUCCGGGCGUUCCGGAAGGUGAAAAGGGAACACGAUAGGGAGACAUCCUCAUUCGUGGCUGCCCCCGCAACUGUGAGCGGAGAGCCUGAAACGAAAUGCCACUGGUAAGCAUCUCGCCGGAUAUGGGCGAGGGCAAUGCCGGGAAGGUGUUUCAGGUUUUGACCCGUAAGCCAGGAGACCUGCCAUCACGGAAAUGUCC
rnacentral:ncRNA from 2 species